rnacentral:rRNA from 1 species
AAAAACAUGUNUUUUUGAAAAUAAUAAAAAGUCUAAUCUGCCCACUGAAUUUAUUUAAAGGGCUGCAGUAUACUGACUGUACAAAGGUAGCAUAAUCAAUAGUCUUUUAAUUGAAGACUUGUAUGAAUGAUUUGAUGAAAUAUGAACUGUCUCUUUUUUAAAAAUAAAAUUUAAUUUUUUAGUUAAAAAGCUAAAAUAAUUAUAAAAGACGAGAAGACCCUAUAGAGUUUUAUAGUUACUUAAUUUAAAAAUUUUAUAUAUAAUUUAAAUUUAAAAUUAAUUAAUUAUUUUAUUGGGGUGAUAGAAAAAUUAAAAAAACUUUUUUUUAAAAAUUUAACAUUAAUUUAUGAAAUUAUGAUCCAUAAUUUAUGAUUAAAAGAAUCAAUUACCUUAGGGAUAACAGCGUAAUUUUUUUUUUUAGUACAAAUAAGAAAAAGAGUUUGCGACCUCGAUGUUGGAUUAAGAUAAAAUUUAAAUGCAAAAGUUUAAAAUUUUUGAUCUGUUCGAUCAUUAAAAUCUUACAUGAUCUGA